AUAAAUAAAUAAAAACCAACGGAGAAAGAAGAACAACCUAGGUCUAACCGGCGGCGGAGAGAAGAGAGAGAGAAACGGUAGAAUUAGAGCCACCACGGCACGACGUUGAGUUCUUUAUCUGGCUGUUGUCUCACCGUCCUCGUCCUACUUGCCCUCGUGGUCCCACCACUAUCACAACCUCUCGCCCCUGGUAAUUGAUUGGUGGAAUUCUGUCCAAAGAUAAGAUAUUUAGGGCAAGUAAAACCAGAACUAUGCUUGAAGGUCUAGCAAGAGAAGGAUCAUUCAGACGGUUUCUCAACAAACAAAGUUCUUUCAGUGAAAAAUUGGAUACCAGUGCUUUCUCCAGUUGUAAAUAUUCUUAUUCGCAGAUGCUUAAAUUAAGCUUGUACUUUGUACUUCUUACAUGUUUACUUUAACAAUAGAUGUAUCUUGUAGAGUUUAGUUCUAUUGUUAUUUGAAA